UAAUUUUGUAUACAUAUUGUUUUUUUCAUCAUAGCAUGUUUUUUAUAUUUAUGCUUUGUGUAAGUAAAAUGUUCAUAAAUCAUUCUUAUCUUUAAACUAAAAAUGUAUUUUGAUAUGCAAAAUGUCUGUAUGAUUUCAGUUGCCAGAGGUGAGUACCAUAACAGUUGAAAAGUUAGUUUUGUUUAGUUAAAGUUUUGGUUCACAGUUUUGUUUGUUAUUUGGCAAAAUUUACAUGUAUGCAUUGAGUCUUGAUUUCAGCUCGAUUGUGGACUGAAGAAGAUUGCCAGCAGAGGGAUUGGAUACAAAAUACAAACUUUACUGCUGGACGAGUGUUCUCAACUACUAGACGAGUCAGGUUUACUACCAGGCGAGCAGUGACAACAAGGCGCCUUUGUGGAAACAACACAACAAAAAACUCUACUGCAAGACGAGCAGUGACAGCAAGGCGCCUGAACAUGCAACACAAUACAAAAAAUGCCAAUUUGCAAACCUUGAUGUGGACACCGAGUAGUCAAUACAUACGUGUGGCGUAUAGCUGCGACAAAACCGUGGGUCCAUCGCACCGAUAACUUGAACAUUGGCCCGUGUAUGGACAUCAGUGCAACUUUGUGAAUCCAUGUAUCUUUGUGAAUCCAUGUAACAUUGCGAAUGUGUGUCGAUCGAAAAAUGUGUACAUUCUGAACUGAAACGAACUCGGUGUUGCAAGUGGCAAGUGUUGACAGUGUGUAUGUUUAUGUUUAUGUUUUUACAUGAAAACUAAAGGAGAUUGUUCUCCUACCUUUUUUUCCUUGUUUUAUUGCGCUGGCCAGCAAUAUUGAUGUAUUGAUGUAUGUGUUUGUGUUUAAACUAUGCAAUACCAAAAUCAAACAAAAAAUAAACAUUAACAGUCAUUAACUGUGUUUGGGCGGCCGAGGGGUUUAAGACUCCACAAGUGUGAAGCGCACUGAUAGCACUUGGGGGUGAACACCUCGGUAUUUCGGUGCUAAAAUGUUUUCACGGUGCUUAUCUUGACGCACUGUUAAGACUACCAACCAGUUAAUGAUUGCUUCAUCUUUAAACAAAAAGUAAGUCUCUACUUUGGCACAAGAGACUCCAAGUACCAAAUACCAACAAUUAAAAAGCAGACGUUUUUCAAAACUAUGAUCGCUGAGAUUGAUAGUCAGAUGGAGUCCUGCCCAGUUAGCUGUGUAGCGGUCUAGGGCGGGGUUGCAAGUCAAUACGAAAUGAGGCGCUAUAAAGCAACUCGUCCCCGUUAUGACCGUCAAUACUUUCGACACUAUCUGGGAAUCCUUUCAACACCACAUUGUUGCGCUGUUGGAAGGGUGGUAGGCACGCAUGGUGACAUGCCUGUGCUUUGCUAUGCGACACCAUGGUAUUUUCGUACGGUGACACGAAAUAUCUUAAUCUGGCUCUCUCAGAAACGCAGGCACGCGUUGACCGAACCUGACCGAUGACCGAGCAAUAACAUUUCUAUUAAGUGCUUCAAUGCACAAAGUCUGCUAGGGCUGGGGUGGGAA